UACAGAGGGGGCAAGCGUUGUUCGGAAUUACUGGGCGUAAAGGGCGCGUAGGCGGCCCGCUAAGUCGAACGUGAAAUCCCCGAGCUCAACUCGGGAACUGCGUCCGAUACUGGCGGGCUUGAAUCCGGGAGAGGGAUGCGGAAUUCCAGGUGUAGCGGUGAAAUGCGUAGAUAUCCGGAGGAACACCGGUGGCGAAGGCGGCUUCCUGGACCGACACUGACGCUGAGGCGCGAAAGCUAGGGGAGCAAACGGG
rnacentral:rRNA from 1 species